CGCCUCCAAUCCCUUGUGUGGGAGGGGGGUGUUGUUAGAUAAUAGAGACAAUAUAAAAUGGUGAGACAUAUUAACUCUAUGGAUCUCACUUAUAUGUGACACAUCUCUCACGUGUCUGUCACAUCUCCGUUAUACGCUAUAGUAUAGGCGCACCGUGGCACUGACGGGUAACGGGGAGAUAGGGGUUGAUUCUGGAGAGAGAGCGCGAGAGAAGCGUAUCACAUAUAUGGGAAGCAGCAGGCGCGCAAAUUUCCCACUCUUAAUACACGGAGGUAGUGACACGAAAUAUCACUACACGACCUUUAAUAGUUUUGUAAAUGGAGUGAGUGAAGUGUAAAACCCUUUACACGUAUCACAAGGAGGGCAAGUGUGGGGCCACCAGCCCCGGUAAUUCCAGAUCCACUAGCGUAUAUAAAAGAUGUUGCAGUUAAAAAAAUCGUAGAGGGAGUUCUGUUUAUAAUUUUUAUAUAAUAUUUUAUUAUUAUUUUUAUAGUAUUAACAUAAUUUAUAUUAUUAUAUUUUAUAGUAUAUGAAAUUUUACUUUGAGAAAAUUAGAGUGCUUAAAGCAGGCAUUAGCCUUGAAUACUCCAGCAUGGAAUAAUAUAAAAGAUUUUUAUUUUUUUUAUUGGUUCUAAGAUAAAAAUAAUGAUUAAUAGGGACAGUUGGGGGCAUUUGUAUUUAACAGUCAGAGGUGAAAUUCUUAGAUUUGUUAAAGACAAACUAGUGCGAAAGCAUUGGCCAAGGAUGUUUUCAUUAAUCAAGAACGAAAGUUAGGGGAUCGAAGACGAUCAGAUACCGUCGUAGUCUAACCAUAAUC
rnacentral:rRNA from 1 species